ACAUCCUCACACUGCAGAGAAGACUGUUAGCUGCGACUGUGCCAGUGGUAGAGACAGAGGAGGAAACUCUAGAAAAUGGGCCCUGUCAAACUGUAGAGGAGCUUAAAGAGUUUGACACCUCACUAGAAAAUAAAGAGACUAGGCUAAAGAUGACUAACUACCUACGCUCCAUCGGGGGUAUCAAUCCAGGGGCGGCUGUGCGCAAGAUGCUACGUAAAGUGGCCACCAAUGAAGUCCUGGGUGCCUACAGCAUGAGAGGAAAGAAAACUAAAAUGGCAUUCCAGGAGCUUAGGAUUUGCUCUCUUAUCAUAGGAAAGUUUAAUUCCAUAAUCCUUAAAAAAAUUGAUUGUCAAUUAAAGUAGUUACAAUUCGGAGACAAUUUGUUGAAGUAGUUUGAUUAGAUUAUUUCAUCUAAUUUUUAGGAGCAACACAGAAGAACUUCAAAUCAAUGAAGUCAACAGAAGUGGAAGAUCUUAUAUCACAGGCCCUGAAAUUCGCUCCACAUAGGAAUUUAAAAUGAUGACUGUGGUGAAGAUGGAAGAGUGCAGG